GACUCCUACGGGAGGCAGCAGUGGGGAAUAUUGCACAAUGGGCGGAAGCCUGAUGCAGCAACGCCGCGUGCGGGAUGACGGCCUUCGGGUUGUAAACCGCUUUCAGCAGGGGCGAAGCUUGUGGUGACGGUACCUGCAGAAGAAGCACCGGCUAACUACGUGCCAGCAGCCGCGGUGAUACGUAGGGUGCGAGCGUUGUCCGGAUUUAUUGGGCGUAAAGAGCUCGUAGGUGGUUGAUUGCGUCGGAAGUGAAAACUUGGGGCUUAACCCUGAGCGUGCUUUCGAUACGGGUUGACUUGAGGAAGGUAGGGGAGAAUGGAAUUCCUGGUGGAGCGGUGGAAUGCGCAGAUAUCAGGAGGAACACCAGUGGCGAAGGCGGUUCUCUGGACCUUUCCUGACGCUGAGGAGCGAAAGCGUGGGGAGCGAACAGGCUUAGAUACCCUGGUAGUCCACGCUGUAAACGGUGGGUACUAGGUGUGGGGUCCAUUCCACGGAUUCCGUGCCGUAGCUAACGCAUUAAGUACCCCGCCUGGGGAGUACGGCCGCAAGGCUAAAACUCAAAGGAAUUGACGGGGGCCCGCACAAG
rnacentral:rRNA from 1 species